UACGGGAGGCAGCAGUGGGGAAUCUUAGACAAUGGGCGCAAGCCUGAUCUAGCACAUGACCGCGUGAUUGAAGAAUGACGCCUUAGGGUCGUAAAGGCUCUUUCUGCCAGGGAUGAUACUGACAGUAGCUGCGUACAGCACCACCCAGAGCUGAUCUACAAACGUGCACANGCAGUUGACGGUAAUCCGGAGGGGGUUAGCGUUGUAAUCGGAAUUACUGGGCGUGAAGCGCACGUGGGCGGAUUAGUAAGUGUGGGGUGAAAUCCCCUGGCUCAACCCAUGGGACUGCCUCAUAAACUCCUAAUCUAGAUUUCGAGAGAGGUGAGUGGAAUUCCGAGUGUAUAGGUGAAAUUCGUAGAUAUUCGGAGGAACACCAGUGGCGAAGGCGGCUCACUGGCUCGAUACUGACGCUGUUACGGGAGGCUGCAGGAAACAUAUUUGUGUAGGGGAGCAAACGGGUUUUGAGGCAAUACCCUGGUAGUCCACACCGAUUAAAACGAUGAAUGCCAGUCGUCGGAUAGUAUACUAUUCGGUGACACACCUAACGGAUUAAGCAUUCCGCCUGGGGAGUACGGUCGCAAGAUUAAAACUUAAAUGAAUUGACGG
rnacentral:rRNA from 1 species